rnacentral:rRNA from 1 species
CCUACGGGUGGCAGCAGUGAGGAAUAUUGGUCAAUGGACGAGAGUCUGAACCAGCCAAGUCGCGUGAGGGAUGACUGCCCUAUGGGUUGAAAACUUCUUUUAUAAAGGAAUAAAACGAGGCACGUGUGCCUUUUUGCAUGUACUUUAUGAAUAAGGAUCGGCUAAAUCCGUGCCAGCAUCCGCGGUAAUACGGAGGGUCCGAGGAGUAUCCGGGUUUAAUGGGGUUAAAGGGAGCGUAGAUGGGUUGGUAAGUCAGUGGUUAAAGUUUGCGGCCCAAACGUAAAAUUGCAAUUGAUACUGGCAGUCUUGAGUACAGGUGAGGUAGGCGGAAUUCGUGGUGUAGCGGUGAAAUGCUUAGAUAUCACGAAGAACCCCGAUUGCGAAGGCAGCUUACUAACCUGUGACUGACAUUGAGGCUCGAAAGUGUGGGUAUCAAACAGGAUUAGAUACCCUUGUAGUC